UGCUGCUGGCCAUCUCACGAGCACUGAGGCUAUAGGAAACCUUAGGCCCAGGGCUUAAACAAAAUGUAGGCUCUUUAAUUGCAGCCUGAGGGUCUGCAGUGGAGCCAGGACUUGAAUGCAAGUGUUUCACGUACCGGAGAACCUGGCCACCAUAGCGUCUUUUUUUUUUUUUUUUUUCUGUACGUGUCCUUUAAACUAUUGGUAUCUGUAAUGUAUUAAAUUAUUCAUAGUAUUCAGUUAUAUUCAGUUUCCUUUAAAGGUUGAGGAAGUCAUGAAGAUAAUCCUCUUUCUGCCGUAUGUUUCCCGUGCCCUCUGGUUCCCCGAUCUAUUUCUCUCCCCUUUCCCUGUUCUUCUGUGUCUCCUGUUUUCCAUCUGCGUUUUCCCUCAGCAGCACCCAUUUCCUGUGGGUUUCAUUGCCACCCCCACCCCGACUCCAUCUGUUGCAGAGAUCAGCGAUGAAGUUAACUUGCAAUUACACUCGCAGGGAAUUUCGCCAACAGCCGCCGUGCAUCAAAGCGAACGCCCCGCUGCCAGGAGUGGCAGAGAGGAGAGGUCAUCCCUCUGCCGAGCAGCAGCCACGGGCAGAAAUGCAGCCUUAUGUAAGUCCAGUUCCAGGAUCGGAGCAACAAAUUACAAAAGCAAUUUGAGGUAAACAGCUGCUUCCAUUUUAUGAGGAUUUCUGGUGGAACACUGCCCAUAAGCCUACAGUAUCUUCUGGACUCUCAUGAGGAAAACUUGUGGAACGCAGGCUCUCCUUGGAGAUGCAGAAUGUGGGAAGGUAGCCUGGGCAGAGGCAGUAGACAAUCCCCUUUCCAGCCCAUGUUCCUGAAAUACAGGAACUGAUGUCCCUCAGCACUCAUGAGAUAGAUCUUGCAUUUUAUGUGUUUCAUUUUCUAAAAUACCGUAAUACGAGGGGAAGCAUAGAAAACGUAUUUGCUCCAAGGUAACAGAAAUGUGCUAAUUAGAAAUCCCAGUCAUUACCUACAGGACAGUUCUGUUUUUCAGGGACUGAAAAUAAUACAAGACGUAGCAUAAAAUCCAGGAAAUGGCAGAAUGCAUUCCAAUUCCUCCAGUUUCUGCAAAGGCUUAUUUUUCUUUCCUUUGAAGAGAUCUGAGCAAAAGAGAAAGUCUUCAGGAGUCAUCUGCACUCCCACUGGUGGGCCAGAGGACUUCACCCGUGGGAAGCCCUGCACAGCCACCAAGUGUACUGCUGCACUGUGCCAGUUAUAAGCCACUUAUGUUACAUGCAGGGUGUCUGUGGACGCCAUGCUGAACUUUUGUCUCCUGGGGAGACUCUUUUUUGACGAACAUAACCGACGAAGUACUUACAAAUACGCAGUGGCUGGAAUUUUGUCAUUUUCAGUGGCAAAACAUAUAAAAAUGUGUUCUCAGCAAUCAGACUAUGCCACUGUUAUGGGUCUGUUUCAGUUUGCCUACAGCUGACCCCACACAACAUGGAGUGAAGAAAGGACAUAAAGAAAAUAAUGAGCUUGACAAAAUACAUCCCAACAAGUCGUCCUCAAGCCAUUGCUUAAAGUUCCUUGGGUGUGGAGGCUUGGGAAGACGGCAGUCAAGAAAGAACUUGGGAAUUAUCCAUUCUGAUGGGAAGAGAUGGACAGAGAAAAAGCCAUGCUUUUCCAGGUCCGAAGACAGCCAGUUUGGGUUGCUUUCUACAUGGGAGUUUUUCAUUCCAAUAUGCUUUUUUUUUUUUUUUUACUAGCAAACAAAAACAGAAUAAUAGCUAACUCCUAUUAAAAAAUUACCAGGGGAGUCAAAGCAGUGCUUAUAAUUAAAUUAUUGCUACAACCUUAAUUAGGGCAUGCUGCCAAAUACGUUUGUGAUGAAAAACAAAUCAAUAUAAUGAUGCUUCCCCAUUACCUUUUGUUUAGGGAAUGAAAUGUCACAAAAUAUUUUGCACAUGCUGUGUUGGAGACCAGGCUGUACAGGACUGAUUUACAAGAGAACAUUAAGGGAUUUUGUUUAAAAUUGGUGCAGGCGGGCAGACAACUGCUGGAACCAAAGGUUGGAAAUGAUUUUGUUUUCUAACGGCAGCAAAGGAUGUGGCACUAAUACUUACUACUGUAAAAGUUUCAAAUAUAGUAUAGAACCUGACUAGACUAAACACGGUAUAUCUACGUCCCUUUUUCACCCACAUAGGUGGUGUUUCACCUAACCUGAACCUGCUCUAGGAGACAUUCAAGCCAUGUCUCCUAGCCUCAUGUUGUAAGGUCCUGCAGUUUCAAGGCGAUUUCUGUCCAGAUAUUGGUGGUGGCAGAAGCCCACCUCUGCUGGAGCCCCCAGGCCUGCUGUAGGCUGCCUUUCAUUGGGUCGCAUCCCCAGCAUCUUACUCAGUUUUUCCCUUAUCUGCCAUCAGGCAUGCUUUCACAGGAGUUUAUCCGUGCAAGAGCUGACUAAACACUGAGCAAACAGUUCAGAAUUUGGCUGUCUUUUAUAAAUAAUGAUUCAAAGGUUUGAUUUAGCUACAGAUGAGCCCGAGCCACAAAAACUGCAGCUGGUUCGUAGCGGCAUCAAUUCACGCAGCAGAGACUUCUUUCCCCGACAUGUUUUAUUCCAGCCAGAGCUUGGUCUGAAAGUCCACGCGUAAAGACAAACUGUGAACCAGCAGCAGACAUCAGGGCCCGGGGCGCAGCGCGUACCAAGAUAGCCCGCAGCCACAUGCCAGCUCGCCGCUGACCUUUUAUCUGCAUAAAUAGUCGUGACCUUUGGGCCGCUCAAAUUAGUGCUAGCUGCUUGAGCAGUUAAGUAUCACAACCCCAUCCUGUGCAGGCCAUGCUCCCGUUCCUCUGACUGCCUUUGCUGGCCUCCUUCGGCAUCCUUGGCACCAAAGUGCCGCCAAAAUGACCUGCUGGAGCCAAAAAGGGCCACCAAAACAUCCUGCUGGAGCCUCCAUCUGCCAGCUGAACAGCACAAAGACCAAGGGAAGGGUCUGGCCAUCUGCAUCUGGGCUGCUGCUUCACUGUAGGGUGCUGUGAGCACUCACCCGCACACUUCUUUGAGUAUUAGUUCACUGCGUCCUUUAGGAGAAGUCCUAAAUUAGUUUUAAAAUCAAAAGAAAGAAAUUGUUACCAAAACAGCUACUUUUUCAGUAAGCCACAAAAUGAGUUAUUUUGCGUAAAACCAGUAGUAGUUCACUACACCAUUGAUCUCUUUUUCAAAUGAAAGCCACUUUUUAUUCAGUGGACUGUAAGCUGUGUAGGCUUUAAUGCACAUUAUUUAUCAGUAGACCAGAACUACCAUGCUAUCGCAUGUAAAUAAGCAUUUAGUUCUAGCUCAAAAUGCAGCGUUCGUAACCCCAGCAGUUUUAUUUAUCUAGUUUUUUUAAUAGGUAUUUGCACAGUUUUACAAGCACUUUUUUUUUUCAAAUUGCUUAGAAGAGACCCUUUGGCUGCCUAGAUGGCAACAUUGACUAGGCCUGGAAAAAAAAGAGUGUGAUACUUUUAAAUAUAUAAAGCAUGAAAAAUAUACAAUUUUCAAGGUUCUUUAAGAAGAUGACUGCACAGACCAAUUUCAGAGGAAGUUUACUAUGCCUAAAAUUUGCUCCAAAGCUCUUUUCUUUUGAUUUCCUGUAAGAGGAGCUUUCUUCUCCUCAGCUGUUUCAGCCUUGGGUAGCAGAUUCCAAGAGCAUUUUUCCACUUGAUGUACAUUGUGUGCAUGAUGCUUUAAAAAAUUCCGUCAAGUCCUCCUAUACAUUUUGGAGACUUUUUCAGUUGUAUCAAGGCAAAGUGUCAGGCAAGUAAUGAGAAGGCGCUGAUUGCUUUUACCCAUGCCAGUUUUGGACAGGAAUAGGAAACUCAGAGGGCUGGGAGGUCAACGUGUUUUGCUUGUCUGAUGCCCCAGACUAGCACAAAGCUGCUGAAGCUCAGAAGUACGAUUGCUUGCAAACAUUGACAUCCAACCCUGGUUUUUAUAUCCUUCUUUUGCGUUAUCUCUCAGAGCAAUUCCAACAUUUGAAACUUUUAAGAGCAUUUUUUUUUUGCUGUCAUUUCUUUCUCACUUGUGCUAUCUCGGCCUUGCCUGUCUGUGGCAGUACUGGCAGCAGCGCCAGCCCGAGCCACUCGCGGGUAAAUAAGGAGUCAACCCGCAUGUUUGCAAAGCGUGUUUAACUUGCGUCUUUCAUCUGUGAUUAAUAUUAAAUCUAUUGAGCUACAUAAAUAAGUAAUUCA